rnacentral:rRNA from 1 species
AGAGAGAGACAUGCGCGCAUAUCAAUAAGCGGAGGAAAAGAAACUAACAAGGAUUCCCUUAGUAACGGCGAGUGAAGCGGGAAGAGCUCAAAUUUGAAAUCUUCAAGGUUUACCUUGACGAAUUGUAGUUUAUAGAAGUGUUUUCUGUCAGUGGUAGUUGGUAAAAGUUCUUUGGAAUAGGACAUCAUAGAGGGUGAGAAUCCCGUAUUUGGUCAUUCCUCCUAGCGUUGUGAUACACUUUCAACGAGUCGGAUUGUUUGGGAAUGCAGUCCAAAAUGGGUGGUAAAUUUCAUCUAAAGCUAAAUAUUGGCGAGAGACCGAUAGCGAACAAGUACCGUGAGGGAAAGAUGAAAAGAACUUUGAAAAGAGAGUUAAACAGGUACGUGAAAUUGUCAAAAGGGAAGCGUUUGACACUAGUGUUGUUUUUCCGAAAAUCAAUUACGAAUGUUUUAUUUUUGAGGAGUUAUGACUUCAUCGGCUUGCUCCUUUCUUUAUGAAACUUUCUUAAUGCACUUUUCGGUUAACAAGUCAACAUCAAUUUCUUUUGUUGUAAAAGGGUAUGAGGAAGGUGGCUUUCUUUUCGGAGAAAGUGUUUAUAGCCUUGUGCCUCUGCAAUCGGAGAGAUUGAGGUCUGCAGCGUAGAUCCUUCGGGGUUAGAUACAUUUGUGCUAAGUUAUAGCUUUUCAUAGACAACUUGUUGACUAUGUUUAGUCUUGUAGCUUACUCGCUUACUGCUAUUUUACCUACGCUUAGGAUGUUGAUAGUCACAGCGUGUAC